UACGUAGGGGGCUAGCGUUGUCCGGAAUCAUUGGGCGUAAAGCGCGCGUAGGCGGCCCGGUAAGUCCGCUGUGAAAGUCGGGGGCUCAACCCUCGAAUGCCGGUGGAUACUGUCGGGCUAGAGUGCGGAAGAGGCGAGUGGAAUUCCUGGUGUAGCGGUGAAAUGCGCAGAUAUCAGGAAGAACACCGACGGCGAAGGCAGCUCGCUGGGACGGUACUGACGCUGAGGCGCGAAAGCGUGGGGAGCGAACAGG
rnacentral:rRNA from 1 species